GACGAACGCUGGCGGCGUGCCUAAUACAUGCAAGUAGAACGCACAGUUUAUACCGUAGCUUGCUACACCAUAGACUGUGAGUUGCGAACGGGUGAGUAACGCGUAGGUAACCUGCCUGGUAGCGGGGGAUAACUAUGGGAAACGAUAGCUAAUACCGCAUAAUGUUAAUUAUUGCAUGAUAAUUAAUUGAAAGGUGCAAUUGCACCACUGCCAGAUGGACCUUCGUUGUAUUAGCUAGUAGGUGAGGUAACGGCUCACCUAGGCGACGAUACAUAGCCGACCUGGGAGGGUGAUCGGCCACACUGGGAGUGAGACACGGCCCAGACGGCUUCGGGAGGCAGCAGUAGGGAAUCUUCGGCAAUGGACGAAAGUCUGACCGAGCAACGCCGCGUGAGGGAAGAAGGUUUUCGGAUCGUAAAGCUCUGUUGUAAGAGAAGAACGGGUGUGGGAGUGGAAAGUUCACACUGUGACGGUAUCUUACCAGAAAGGGACGGCUAACUACGUG
rnacentral:rRNA from 1 species